AGAGCUAAGACUGGCAUUGCUACCCAUCCUGACGUAUUUGCUUUCACAUGGCCUCAUUUUGAACGGCGGAGGGGGAGGCGGCCGCGGCGGCGAAGAAAAAGAAAAAGAAGAACGGGGAGAUGACUGUAAAGAAGACCAUGAAGGCGACAAAGAUGAACGUGGAUACGUAAAAGAAGAAGGCGGAGACGACGGUGGAGAUAGCAAAGAAGAAGGAGGAGAC
rnacentral:lncRNA from 1 species